UACGGAGGGUUCAAGCGUUAAUCGGAAUUACUGUGCGUAAAGCGCACGCAGGCGGUCUGUCACGUCGGAUGUGAAAUCCCCGUGCUCAACCUGGGAACUGCAUCCGAAACUGGCAGGAUAGAGUCUUGUAGAGGGGAGUAGAAUUCCAGGUGUAGCGGUGAAAUGCGUAGAGAUAGGGAGGAAUACCGGUGGCGAAGGCGGCCCCCUGGACAAAGACUGACGCUCAGGUGCGAAAGCGUGGGGAGCAAACAGG
rnacentral:misc_RNA from 1 species